UACGUAGGGUGCAAGCGUUGUCCGGAAUUAUUGGGCGUAAAGAGCUCGUAGGCGGUUUGUCGCGUCGGCUGUGAAAACCCGAGGCUCAACCUCGGGCCUGCAGUCGAUACGGGCAAACUAGAGUACUGCAGGGGAGACUGGAAUUCCCGGUGUAGCGGUGAAAUGCGCAGAUAUCGGGAGGAACACCGGUGGCGAAGGCGGUUCUCUGGGCCUGUACUGACGCUGAGGAGCGAAAGCGUGGGGAACGAACAGG
rnacentral:rRNA from 1 species